UACGUAGGUGGCAAGCGUUGUCCGGAUUUACUGGGCGUAAAGAGCGCGCAGGCGGUCGCUCAAGUCGCGUGUGAAAGCCCCCGGCUCAACUGGGGAGGGUCACGCGAUACUGAUCGACUGGAAGGCAGGAGAGGGUAGUGGAAUUCCCGGUGUAGUGGUGAAAUGCGUAGAUAUCGGGAGGAACACCAAUGGCGAAGGCAGCUCGCUGGGACGUGACUGACGCUGAGACGCGAAAGCGUGGGGAGCAAACAGG
rnacentral:rRNA from 1 species